GGGCCUGUAGCCUAGGCUGGAUAGGGCGCUGGACUUCUAAUCCAGAGACCGAGGGUUCAAAUCCCUCCAGGUCCG
rfam:Methanobrevibacter cuticularis strain DSM 11139 MBCTT_contig000118, whole genome shotgun sequence.